AGUGAACGCUGGCGGUAGGCCUAACACAUGCAAGUCGAACGGCAGCACAGUAAGAGCUUGCUCUUACGGGUGGCGAGUGGCGGACGGGUGAGGAAUACAUCGGAAUCUACUUUUUCGUGGGGGAUAACGUAGGGAAACUUACGCUAAUACCGCAUACGACCUACGGGUGAAAGCAGGGGAUCUUCGGACCUUGCGCGAUUGAAUGAGCCGAUGUCGGAUUAGCUAGUUGGCGGGGUAAAGGCCCACCAAGGCGACGAUCCGUAGCUGGUCUGAGAGGAUGAUCAGCCACACUGGAACUGAGACACGGUCCAGACUCCUCCGGGAGGCAGCAGUGGGGAAUAUUGGACAAUGGGCGCAAGCCUGAUCCAGCCAUACCGCGUGGGUGAAGAAGGCCUUCGGGUUGUAAAGCCCUUUUGUUGGGAAAGAAAAGCAGCAGGUUAAUACCCCGCUGUUCUGACGGUACCCAAAGAAUAAGCACCGGCUAACUUCGUG
rnacentral:rRNA from 1 species